AGCGCGCGCGCUUGGGCCGCCCCUCCGCCGCUGGGCUGGGGAAGCCCCCGGAGGCUGCGCCGCCGCGCGCCGGCGGAAGGUGACUGCAGGCGGGCGCCUGGGGGCGGCGCCGGCGAGGAGGACUGUGCCCUUUGCCCUAGGCGGUCUCCGCCAGCCUUCCCUCGCUCCUUCACGUCAAUCUGGUCGGGCAGAGUUCUGGCGCGGGAGUGAGGACGGGCUGCAGGGACCGUUCGUUAACUUUAAACAGAGCAAAGAGCAAUGUUAUGUAAGCAAAAAAAAUGAAUGAAUGUAUGUGGAGAUAGCAAAGGAACUACAAUUCAGGACAAGGAACCUAUGCGAAGCCCAAGAGACGAAGAGAAGCCUUUCUCUUCAUGGACCUCACAAAAAUGAAGCCCUGUUCCCAAGGGGAAGCCAUUAUCUACUGAUGGCCCAGGGAUCUCAGAUUCUUCAAGACCAUGGGCAUGAUGUGAUCUUACUUCAACAGAAUGGACUUUCGUUCACAUUAGAGUAGGCUCCAUGCCCAGUGUGGACCCCAACCUGGGGCUUGAACUCAAGACCCUAAGAUCAAGACCCUGAGCUGAGAGAUCAAGAGUCGGAUGCUUAACCAACUGAGCCACCCAGGCACCCCAUCACAAUGAUUUUUCUGAUGACAAUCCAGGAAAAGAAAACAGCAAAAUUGCAGGAGAAACUUAUCAAACAACUAAUACAAGAAAAAUUUCCAGAACUAAAAUACGUGUAGCUCCAUACUGAAAGAUCCCACCUAGCAUUCAACACAAAGAAUAAAAAAAUGACCUACACCAGGGGAAAUCAUGGUGACAUUUCAGAAUAGCAGUGAUUAAUAAAAAGCAAUCUAAAUGUUUUGGGGUGCCUGGGUGGCUCAGUCACUUAAGUGUUUGAUUCUUGAUUUCAGCUCAUGUCAUGAUCUCACAGUUCCCACAUGAUCCCACAGAGAAGGUUUGAGCCCUGUAUGGGGCUCCACGCUGACUGUCUAGAGCCUGCUUAGGAUUCUCUCUCUCCCUCUCUCUCUCUCUGCCCCUCCCUGACUCACAUGUGCUCUCUCUCUCUCUCAAAGUAAAUAUAAACUUAAAAAAAAAACUAUUUUAAAAGCAACGUAAAUGUUUUGACAUACUGCAAUGAUGAGUAGGACUCAGAAUGGCAUCAAACUUUUUAGCAUUGACAUACAGCAGUGGACACAGAAAACCCAACAAGACUUGACAGUAAAAUAGUCUCAAAGGUUUUCCUUUUCAUAUACCACUUCUUAAGAAGUUAUUACAGAGUUUAGUCCCAGCAGAACAAUGGGGUGACCAAGAAAGAGGAAGACAAAGGGUAAGUAUAUAGAAGUGGCAAAGCAAGAGAGUGUUAAGAUUUGUCCUAAGGUAUCAGCUGUGCAGUUGGCCUGGAGAGCAGUUGGUCCAGGUUGAAUUGAUAGAAGAAUCCAGGAAGAACAUCUCUGGGGGGAAAAAAAUUAGUCAAUAAGUUGACCUUAUUGAAAAUCCUAUUGGGAGAAUAUUGGAGGGAGUUGAGAGACUGGCCAAUAGGCACAGAAACAAAACAAAACAAAACAAAACAGACCUAAACAAAUGAAAA